UACGAAGGGGGCGAGCGUUGUUCGGAUUUACUGGGCGUAAAGGGCGCGUAGGCGGCCCUCUUUGUCGCGUGUGAAAGCCCCGGGCUCAACCUGGGAAUGGCGCGCGAAACGGGGGGGCUUGAGUUCGGGAGAGGAGCGUGGAAUUCCCAGUGUAGAGGUGAAAUUCGUAGAUAUUGGGAAGAACACCGGUGGCGAAGGCGGCGCUCUGGACCGAGACUGACGCUGAAGCGCGAAAGCGUGGGGAGCAAACAGG
rnacentral:rRNA from 1 species